rnacentral:rRNA from 1 species
AGAGUUUGAUUAUGGCUCAGGAUGAACGCUGGCGGCGUGCUUAACACAUGCAAGUCGAACGGGCUUAGAUCGGAAGCUUGCUUUGAUUAAGUUAGUGGCGGACGGGUGAGUAACGCGUGGGUAACCUACCCUGUGCAGGGGGAUAGCAGCUGGAAACGGCUAGAUAAAACCGCGAUAACACGGCGAUGCCGCAUGGCAAUGCCGUCAAAUAUUUAUAGGCACAGGAUGGGCCCGCGUCUGAUUAGCUAGUUGCGGGGCAACGGCCCACCAAGGCGACGAUCAGUAGCCGGCCUGAGAGGGUGAACGGCCACAUUGGGACUGAGACACGGCCCAAACUCCUACGGGAGGCAGCAGUGGGGAAUAUUGGACAAUGGGGGAAACCCUGAUCCAGCGAACGCCGCGUGAGCGAAGAAGUAUUUCGGUUAUGUAAAGACUCUAUCAGCAGGGAAGUAUGAUGACGGUACCUGACUAAGAAGCACCGGCUAAAUACGUGCCAGCCGCAGC